GGGCGCGUAGCUCAGUUGGUUAGAGCGCUACGUUGACAUCGUAGAGGUCACAGAUUCGAAUUCUGUCGCGCCCA
rnacentral:tRNA from 1 species